AAGAGGAGAAGGAAGAGGAAGAAGCCGAGGAUUCCUUUGAGGAGAAGGAGAUGGAGAAGCAGAAGCUGCUGUCGCAGCAGGCCCGGCUGCACACGCGAGGAGCGGCCGAGAUGGUGCUGCAGAUGAUCAGCGCCUGCAAGGGUGAGCGGGGGGCCAUGGUCUCCUCCACGCUCAAGUUGGGCAUCUCCAUCCUCAACGGGGGCAACGCCGA